rnacentral:lncRNA from 1 species
ACCAGGGUCAUUAACAAAAAAAUCUAUUUUGGGCCUAUUUUUAUCGACUGAUCUGGCCCAAUAUUCAAACUCACACCCCCAAUGCCGUAUCACUUGUAUUGUUCAGGCCCGAUAUCGUUACUUUCAGUUCCUACAAGAAAGAAAACAAAAAACAAAAAAAAACUCGGAUUGAUCACAAUGAGACAUCCACACAAUGAGACCUUCACACAGGCAAAAACAUAUUUUGGGACAUUUAUCAUUUUCCUGACAGAUUUCUUAGCAAACUCUCUCGCUAGAUGAUUUCUUGAAUCUCG